rnacentral:snoRNA from 1 species
GCGCUGCCUUUGAGCCCUCGCCGCGCCUGCGCGUGGCGCCGGGGGUCAGGCUGCAGCGCCAGAGCACGCGCUCGCGCAUAACUGGGGCCGUCUGCCCCCCGCAGCGGCGGCCCCUUUAACCGCCCCCCACACCG